GGGGGCGUUUAUGGAUUCGACGGGGAUUGGACGAGCGCGUGUUAGCGGGUAGCAGGGAGUCGUCUGCUUCAUCAACGCUAAAGCCUAUUAAAUGGCAAAACUCAAAACAACUACGCUUUAGCAGCCUAAGAAACUGUUGGCGUGCUUCUACCCAGCAUCGUCCAUGUGACUGGGAUAGGGGCUAACAUAUAGUGGAAUACGCUGUCACAUCUCCGCCUGGGGUGUGCUGAAGAAGAUAAUCAGGCUGACCCAACGCAGAGCAGGUUACAGUGCGCUGCUCGGGUGACAUCAAAUCUGUAACUACACCCGUAGAAAGCCGUGUGGCGUGAUCUUCGGACAGGGGUUCAAAUCCCCUCGCCUCCACCA
rnacentral:tmRNA from 1 species